UAAAUUGCCGCGGUAUUUUGACCGUGCAAAGGUAGCAUAAUAAUUAGUUUUUUUAUUGAAAGCUGGAAUGAAUGAUUGGACGAGAAAUUUUCUGUCUCAUUUGGAAUUAUUUUUAAAUUUAACUUCUAAGUUAAAAGGCUUAGAUUUUAUUCAAAGACGAGAAGACCCUAUAGAGUUUGAUAGUUUCUUUUAUAGAAAGUUUUUGGUUAUUAAUUUUUUCUAUUUUUGAUGUUAUUUAGUUGGGGUGACUUGAAGAUUAAUUAAACUCUUCUAUUAUUUUAUCAUUGAUUUAUGAUUAUUGAAUCUAGUUUUUUUAAAUUUAAAAUUAAUUACCUUAGGGAUAACAGCGUAAUUUCUUUUUAGAGUUCUCAUUGAAAAGGAAGUUUGCGACCUCGAUGUUGGAUUAAAAUUUAUUUUUGGUGUAGCAGCUGAAAUAUUGGGUCUGUUCGACCUUUAAAAUUUU
rnacentral:rRNA from 1 species